rnacentral:rRNA from 1 species
UAAUACGUAGGGGGCAAGCGUUAUCCGGAUUUACUGGGUGUAAAGGGAGCGUAGACGGCUAUGCAAGUCUGGUGUGAAAACCCGGGGCUCAACCCCGGGACUGCAUUGGAAACUGUGUGGCUUGAGUGUCGGAGAGGUAAGUGGAAUUCCUAGUGUAGCGGUGAAAUGCGUAGAUAUUAGGAGGAACACCAGUGGCGAAGGCGGCUUACUGGACGAUGACUGACGUUGAGGCUCGAAAGCGUGGGGAGCAAACAGGAUUAGAUACCCUGGUAGUCCACGCCGUAAACGAUGUAUACUAGGUGUCGGGUGGCAAAGCCAUCCGGUGCCGCAGCAAACGCAAUAAGUAUACCACCUGGGGAGUACGUUCGCAAGAAUGAAACUUAAAUGAAUUGACGG